UACGAGGGGGGCAAAUGUUGUUCGGAAUCACUGGGCGUAAAGGGAGCGUAGGCGGGUUUCUAAGUAAGGUGUUUAAUCCCGGGGCCCAACCCCGGACAGGCACUUUAAACUGGAAGUCUUGAAUAGUGGAGAGGUCAGUGGAAUUGGGGGUGUAGCGGUGGAAUGCGUAGAGAUCCCCAAGAACACCAGUUGCGAAGGCGGCUGACUGGACACAUAUUGACGCUGAGGCUCGAAAGCAUGGGGAGCAAACAGGAUUAGAAACCCCAGUAGUCC
rnacentral:rRNA from 1 species